rnacentral:lncRNA from 1 species
AUCCCCGCUUCAAUUCGCCGUUGUUUCUCCAGUUUCCGGUGACGCCACCACUUGAGUUUUGUUCUCCACAAUUCCCUCUGUCUUUUCUGACCAACCACAGCCACCGGAGGAGCCGAUUUGCCGUUGAUCGGCUGUUGAAGGAUUCACGGGUUUGGGAGAAAUGAACUUAAUAUUUUUGAAGCAAAGUUCAAAUAAGAAUAAGUGAAAGGGCUUCAUGAAAUUUUACACAGAAAAGACAAAAGCAGUGGCAUGGUGCCACUGUUGCACGAUAGGCGAGUCC